UACGUAGGGAGCGAGCGUUGUUCGGAUUCACUGGGCGUAAAGGGUGCGUAGGCGGUCAUUUAAGUCUGACGUGAAAUCUCCGGGCCUAACCCGGAAACUGCGUUGGAAACUAUCUGACUAGAGGAAUGGAGGGGAGACUGGAAUACUUGGUGUAGCAGUGAAAUGCGUAGAUAUCAAGUGGAACACCAGUGGCGAAGGCGAGUCUCUGGACAUUUCCUGACGCUGAGGCACGAAAGCCAGGGGAGCAAACGGG
rnacentral:rRNA from 1 species